rnacentral:rRNA from 1 species
GGGUUGUGAGGUUAAGCGACUAAGCGUACACGGUGGAUGCCCUGGCAGUCAGAGGCGAUGAAGGACGUGCUAAUCUGCGAAAAGCGCCGGCGAGGUGAUAUGAACCUUUGACCCGGCGAUGUCCGAAUGGGGAAACCCAGUGUGAUUCGUCACACUAUCGUUAACUGAAUACAUAGGUUAACGAGGCGAACCGGGGGAACUGAAACAUCUAAGUACCCCGAGGAAAAGAAAUCAACCGAGAUUCCCCCAGUAGCGGCGAGCGAACGGGGAGCAGCCCAGAGUCUGAAUCAGCUUGUGUGUUAGUGGAAGCGUCUGGAAAGUCGCACGGUACAGGGUGACAGUCCCGUACACGAAAAUGCACAGGUUGUGAACUCGAAGAGUAGGGCGGGACACGUGGUAUCCUGUCUGAAUAUGGGGGGACCAUCCUCCAAGGCUAAAUACUCCUGACUGACCGAUAGUGAACCAGUACCGUGAGGGAAAGGCGAAAAGAACCCCGGCGAGGGGAGUGAAAAAGAACCUGAAACCGUGUACGUACAAGCAGUGGGAGCACCUUCGUGGUGUGACUGCGUACCUUUUGUAUAAUGGGUCAGCGACUUAUAUUCUGUAGCAAGGUUAACCGUAUAGGGGAGCCGAAGGGAAACCGAGUCUUAACUGGGCGUUAAGUUGCAGGGUAUAGACCCGAAACCCGGUGAUCUAGCCAUGGGCAGGUUGAAGGUUGGGUAACACUAACUGGAGGACCGAACCGACUAAUGUUGAAAAAUUAGCGGAUGACUUGUGGCUGGGGGUGAAAGGCCAAUCAAACCGGGAGAUAGCUGGUUCUCCCCGAAAGCUAUUUAGGUAGCGCCUCGUGAACUCAUCUUCGGGGGUAGAGCACUGUUUCGGCUAGGGGGCCAUCCCGGCUUACCAACCCGAUGCAAACUACGAAUACCGAAGAAUGUUAUCACGGGAGACACACGGCGGGUGCUAACGUCCGUCGUGAAGAGGGAAACAACCCAGACCGCCAGCUAAGGUCCCAAAGUCAUGGUUAAGUGGGAAACGAUGUGGGAAGGCACAGACAGCCAGGAUGUUGGCUUAGAAGCAGCCAUCAUUUAAAGAAAGCGUAAUAGCUCACUGGUCGAGUCGGCCUGCGCGGAAGAUGUAACGGGGCUAAACCAUGCACCGAAGCUGCGGCAGCGACGCUUAUGCGUUGUUGGGUAGGGGAGCGUUCUGUAAGCCGUUGAAGGUGGCCUGUGAGGGUUGCUGGAGGUAUCAGAAGUGCGAAUGCUGACAUAAGUAACGAUAAAGCGGGUGAAAAGCCCGCUCGCCGGAAGACCAAGGGUUCCUGUCCAACGUUAAUCGGGGCAGGGUGAGUCGACCCCUAAGGCGAGGCCGAAAGGCGUAGUCGAUGGGAAACAGGUUAAUAUUCCUGUACUUGGUGUUACUGCGAAGGGGGGACGGAGAAGGCUAUGUUAGCCGGGUGACGGUUGUCCCGGUUUAAGCAUGUAGGCGGAGGUUCCAGGUAAAUCCGGUACCUUUUAACGCUGAGGUGUGAUGACGAGGCACUACGGUGCUGAAGUAACAAAUGCCCUGCUUCCAGGAAAAGCCUCUAAGCAUCAGGUAACAUCAAAUCGUACCCCAAACCGACACAGGUGGUCAGGUAGAGAAUACCAAGGCGCUUGAGAGAACUCGGGUGAAGGAACUAGGCAAAAUGGUGCCGUAACUUCGGGAGAAGGCACGCUGAUAUGUAGGUGAAGCCCCUGCGGGUGGAGCUGAAAUCAGUCGAAGAUACCAGCUGGCUGCAACUGUUUAUUAAAAACACAGCACUGUGCAAACACGAAAGUGGACGUAUACGGUGUGACGCCUGCCCGGUGCCGGAAGGUUAAUUGAUGGGGUUAGCGGCAACGCGAAGCUCUUGAUCGAAGCCCCGGUAAACGGCGGCCGUAACUAUAACGGUCCUAAGGUAGCGAAAUUCCUUGUCGGGUAAGUUCCGACCUGCACGAAUGGCGUAAUGAUGGCCAGGCUGUCUCCACCCGAGACUCAGUGAAAUUGAACUCGCUGUGAAGAUGCAGUGUACCCGCGGCAAGACGGAAAGACCCCGUGAACCUUUACUAUAGCUUGACACUGAACACUGGUCCUUGAUGUGUAGGAUAGGUGGGAGGCUUUGAAGUGUGGACGCCAGUCUGCAUGGAGCCGUCCUUGAAAUACCACCCUUUAAUGGCUGGUGUUCUAACGUAGACCCGUAAUCCGGGUUGCGGACAGUGUCUGGUGGGUAGUUUGACUGGGGCGGUCUCCUCCCAAAGAGUAACGGAGGAGCACGAAGGUUAGCUAAUCCUGGUCGGACAUCAGGAGGUUAGUGCAAUGGCAUAAGCUAGCUUGACUGCGAGAGUGACGGCUCGAGCAGGUGCGAAAGCAGGUCAUAGUGAUCCGGUGGUUCUGAAUGGAAGGGCCAUCGCUCAACGGAUAAAAGGUACUCCGGGGAUAACAGGCUGAUACCGCCCAAGAGUUCAUAUCGACGGCGGUGUUUGGCACCUCGAUGUCGGCUCAUCACAUCCUGGGGCUGAAGUAGGUCCCAAGGGUAUGGCUGUUCGCCAUUUAAAGUGGUACGCGAGCUGGGUUUAGAACGUCGUGAGACAGUUCGGUCCCUAUCUGCCGUGGGCGCUGGAGAAUUGAGGGGGGCUGCUCCUAGUACGAGAGGACCGGAGUGGACGCAUCACUGGUGUUCGGGUUGUCAUGCCAAUGGCACUGCCCGGUAGCUAAAUGCGGAAAAGAUAAGUGCUGAAAGCAUCUAAGCACGAAACUUGCCCCGAGAUGAGUUCUCCCUGAGACUUUAAGUCUCCUGAAGGAACGUUGAAGACGACGACGUUGAUAGGUCGGGUGUGUAAGCGCAGCGAUGCGUUGAGCUAACCGAUACUAAUGAACCGUGAGGCUUAACCUUACAACGCCGAAG